UAGGAAAUGAAGAAACCACAAUUCACCCUA
rnacentral:piRNA from 1 species